ACGCUGUGUCAUCUUCUCUAUCACAAUUCACAAUCCCCUGCAGAUAUUUCCUAUUUCAGUUCCCGCGCCCCGUCCCCCACACGCAGUCACACAGAAUGGCAGCGGCAGUGAAUUGCUACCUCUCAGUGACUUCAACAGCCACACCCACAUCUCAAGAUUCUCCACAGCCAGCAAUCACGAGGCCGCCGACCAAGAUCAUACUGCCCAAGAAAAAGCCUAUGAAAUGGUCUACAGGGGUGGCUCCGGGUGAGUAUGGGGGCCCACCCACCACAACGAAGCUCAGGAAAUACUGGGGUGGAGAUGAGGACCCUCUUGCCUCUGAUGAAUACUUGUGGAACAAAGACUUCAUGGGUCGAAUGAAAAAGUUCAUUCAAGACCCCGUCGAUGUCGACACUAAUUCUGACCCUCGAUUCUCAUCUGCGAAGGUCCAGUAUUUGGCCAAUUGAUUAUUUUUGGUUUGUCAUUAUCUGGGUUUUUUUGAGUGAUUUAUAUUGUGGGUUUUAUUUUUGCUGUUGCUUUUGUAUGAGAAAUUAGUAAAAAUGGGGAAUUUUUAGCGCUCAUUGAGAUUAAUUGUUUUGGAAUUUGGAACUUGGAUAAUACUGCUUGUUGAACAUUGUAUAGGGAUGUCUAGUGUCAUUUUUUUCCCCUUCUUUUCAGAGAGAAUUUCUAGAAUGUUCUGCUUGUCUAAUUAAUUGACUGUUCUACGAAGUACUGCUGAUCUAAUUUUUUGGUUUCAUUCCGAAACUGUUUGUUCUGAUUUUACCACAGAUUGAAUUUUUAUUGCUUUUAGUUGAUAAAUAUAUUGUCCAGGUAUCAGCACUGAAUUUGGUAAAUUAUACUGUUUUGGUAUGUUUCUGAACAGGAAGAGCCUUGUGGAUUUCUUAGCUUGAACAGAGUGAUGAGCUUGGACAGGUACACAACCUUUUAUUUUUGGAAAUUGUUAUUUUAUUUUGUCUUGAAUUCCUAUACUGCUUUCCCGUGUAAUAGUCCCACUCUUUGAGGAUGCAGUUUGGAAAUUGACUUGAGCAAAGAGUUAACAGCGACUUCAAGAUCUGCGGUUGAACCACGAGUUGAAGAAAUUCAAGUGUGACAGAUUUUAAGUUCCCUUUGAAAAAAUGGUCUGUAAAACUAGUUUGCAUUUGUUAUUUUCCAUACUCAUCAGGAUUGAAAUGAUUUGUAGAGUAAUAGCAUUGCUUCUCGAAAAUGGAGACCAGCCCCAACACGACGUGAGCUAGAGAAGUGGGACAGAGCUACUAAAGCUGCAACUGGAGGCAGUGUGUGUAGUUUCAUUUUGGACAUGCAAUUUUCUUCUCAUCUUAUAUGCUUAAACUUCUGUUUGCUUAAAACAAAUUGCUGAUUUUCGAGCUG
rnacentral:lncRNA from 1 species